GGGGGAGGCCUGAGUCCUUCCGCUCCGUUGAAACUCACCUGGGGCUCAUCUUGGCACAGAAGCUGCAAGUCCGGGCACGGCACCCUCUGGGAUCUCACUACCCUCACCUCCUCUGGACAUUCCAGACGCUCAGCGAUAAAUCUAGAACCAUGGAGCGUUCUAUGAUUCUAAAGAAGUGAUUUUCUGUGGAGUGGCAGCCAUUUUUCUUUUAAAUGGCGGUCGCCGCCUAUUUGAUUGGGGGAGCUGGUGGCGUUCCUUUGGUUAGUCUUCUCACGCGCGACCUGUUGAUGACUCGGAGUGGCAGUGCGCGGAGCUCCGUGGAGAAGCCGGUUAUGUAAACUGCUUGUGUAUUUCACAUUAUCAUCGAGCUAUCUGGAGGCAAUGUAGAUUUUCUAAAGAUCUAAUGAAUAAACAACCAGCAACUGCUGGCGGUGUAAUUUACAUUGUUAAUGCCUACAUAUGUAUAAUAAAUACGCAUUUGUAUGCUUUCAAAUAAACUCUUUAGUUUUAAA
rnacentral:lncRNA from 1 species